AUGGUUAUGCUGCUAUCUAGCAUUUCACUUUUGUUCCUUGAUUUCUUGGAUAAUGUUUUUCUCUUUCUUGAGAAUCAUCAUAUUGGAAAGGCUGCUUGUGUUAUCAAGUAUGAACUAUUUAUUAGGGUUGAUUUCUGUGCUACUAAUGCCUAUUGCCUUCUCCACCCAUCCAGCGGUGUACAGGACGCCCUCCUCGAAGCGGCCAUCCCCGACGAGCUCUCUUCGCCGGAGGAGAUGGAGCAGCAAGUCCAGCACCCGCUUGGCCCCUGUGUCCUAUCUCGCGUGGACAAGCUCACCAAUGGUUGCGUCUUCCUUCCCUCCUAG
rnacentral:rRNA from 1 species